rnacentral:rRNA from 1 species
UACGGGGGGGGCAAGCGUUGUUCGGAAUUACUGGGCGUAAAGGGCUCGUAGGUGGCCAACUAAGUCAGACGUGAAAUCCCUCGGCUUAACCGGGGAACUGCGUCUGAUACUGGAUGGCUUGAGUUCGGGAGAGGGAUGCGGAAUUCCAGGUGUAGCGGUGAAAUGCGUAGAUAUUGGGAGGAACACCAGUGGCGAAGGCGGCUCACUGGACCGGAACUGACGCUGAGGCGCGAAAGCGUGGGGAGCAAACGGG